UUUCCACCGCCAAUCGCUCUCCCCAAUCCCCACAGCCACCACUAGCGCCUUCCCCCAGUCUCCUCAGCCAUCUUCGUGCGCCUUCCGUCCCGCUCGCGCCGCCGCCACAAGCUGCAGCGUUGCCGGGAGGAGCACUCCGUCCCCUACAGCCUGCUGGCUCAGCCGCAUCUCCCGAUGCCAAAUCCUCUCUCUCCAUCCCUUUUGGUUCUUGAUUUUGUUUUCUUUGAGAUUUCCUUUUGCUUUUCCUGAGAUUUGUUUGUUCUUGUGCUCUAUUUCAUAAUAGAUUUGUUCUGUAUUUUCGUUUUUUGAUUUUUCCGUCCGGAUACUCUUUAGUUUUUUUAUCAGAUUUAUGUUUAUCUGAGCCCCCUGCCCUGCAUCCUCGUGCCUUUUUUCCAGGGACUUUUUCCAGGGACUCACCUUCUUGGUGCUCAUCGUUAGUUUGAUGGUGGUGUACUGACGCCAGUGAGAACUAGGAGGAGGAAGAGGACACAAAGAGAGAGAUGGAGCGGCAAGACUACAAGAUCCCAGAUGCAAGUCGAGAUAAGAGAGAAGGGGCCGGUUCAGAUUAGCACUCCACAUCCUAUGGCAGUUGGCACGCUAGGACAUGGGAAAGCUCAGCUCAGCCGGUAGCCAUGAUGCACCCCCCUUCCCAAAUUUUCAAUGAGGACGAGCUUCCGGGUUCCGCAGCUUGAAUGGUGUGGAGCUCCAUCACUUUUGCUGAAUGGCUCACCAAACCAUUGUUUCUACAGCCUGUGAUGUUGAUCGAGAUUCCAGUCACAAUGAUGAGUUCUCUGACCAUGCCAGCAUGGCAAAAGUGACAUUGUUUGAGGAAACAUUGCGUGAGUGAAGUGAAGUUGGAUGAGGGGAUUCGGUGUGUCAUAUGCGCCUUUGCCCUGGAGCUGGGUGGGCCACGGCUCAAUUUGGCCCUCAGUAGCUUCACCGGUGCUCCCAAACAACGUCGUGAGGACGAGCUUCCGGGUUCCGCAGCUUGAAUGGUGUGGAGCUCCAUCACUUUUGCUGAAUGGCUCACCAAACCAUUGUUUCUACAGCCUGUGAUGUUGAUCGAGAAGCAUAAAUGGAGAUAAGUUCACCUCAUAGUGCCCUUGAAAAACUAAGAUUGCAGCUGCUGAUUCCAGUCACAAUGAUGAGUUCUCUGACCAUGCCAGCAUGGCAAAAGUGACAUUGUUUGAGGAAACAUUGCGUGAGUGAAGUGAAGUUGGAUGAGGGGAUUCGGUGUGUCAUAUGCGCAUCUGCCCUGGAGCUGGGUGGGCCACGGCUCAAUUUGGCCCUCAGUAGCUUCGCCGGUGCUCCCAAACAACGUCGGUGACGUCUUAAAAUGGGAGCUUGACUAUCGCAUCCAUGUUGCAUCUGUACAGGUUUUCAAGAAUUUAUCCGUUUGUGUUUCUAUCAUAUUACUUGCAAUAAAUUGACACUGGGACAAGAUUUUGUAAUUCGUUUGGUUGCUUCUGUACGGCAAUCCUUAUUUUCAAGGUCAUGGGGCUCAGUGGUCAGCAUGGCCGUCGCCGUCAUCGGUUCUACUUGUCUUCAGGCCUGAAGUUUGGCUCAGAUUUGGAAACAAGACCAAAACAAUUCAUAUACAUUCGAAACUUAUGAAGAUAAAGCAUGGAAAGUAUAAGCUAUAUGUACAGAACAUUCAUUGGAGAACAUUUCCAUGCUUGUGAACAGACGGAAAGUACAAUACCUCAAUGUCAUUUUCCCUCCUAUUCCUACCAAUGCCCAAGGUGGGUGGUGAUGUUUCUAUCCCUGGAGGCGUUGCUGAUCUCAAGUUACAAACAUAGAUAAAUUGUUGACUCUAUUCAUGUGUCUGUAAUCUCCAUGAAAGUAUCCCCGCUCAUUGGUUUAUUUCCAUAUUGUUAGUUCUUCAUGUGUGUAUGGACAAUGUUGCCAGCAAUAUUGCAAAUAGUUUAGAUGAUAUCCCGAAUUAAGGUUCGCUUGAAAUUUUCAAUGUGCACCUCAUCUCUGUUCUUUUAUGGUGGGGUAUCUGUUCUUCUGUACAUAGACGAAUAGGAUCUAAUCAAAUGUUUAAUUGGAGGUAUUUAUUGGUGGACUAACGAAAGAGAUGUUCAAGUUUUAGCCCUGUUGAAAGGAUGAAAGAAUUCAGUUUGGAGCCCUGUUGAAAGGAUGAAAGGAUUGACAGGUUAUAGCGCUGUUGAAAGCAUGAAAGGAUUCGGGUUGUGUCCCUUUGAAAGGAUGAAAGUAUUCAGGUUGUAGCCCUAUUCUCUGCUUCGUGAACUGAUGAAAGGCUGCCCAAGCAGCACACGAUUCAAGUAGUGGCUCAAGUUGGCGAUUUAUAGAUCUAUAGCUAAGUUGCAUUGUGCGGUGAACAUGAAGAGUUAAGAAACUAUUGAAAUGACAUGGUUUGGUAGCGUGCUAUACCGAAUUGUCCCAUAGGCAGCCUAUGUAGAUGUUGCUUUUUGUUGUUCCUUUCUCACUUGUGUUGCUCUUGCUAGAACCAUGGAGUGUUUGUGUGCCUUGCCUAAAUUUUAUCAUAUCGACUUCGUUUUUGUAAA